GGAGCGGUACUCAAGUUGGUCGAAGAGGCUUGUUUGCUAAACAAGUAGGACGUUGAAAGAUGUCGCAAGAGUUCAAAUCUCUUCCGCUCCGCCA
rnacentral:tRNA from 1 species